rnacentral:rRNA from 1 species
AACGCGAAGAACCUUACCAAGGCUUGACAUAUAGAGGAAAAGUGCAGAGAUGCACUCCCCGCAAGGUCUCUACAUACAGGGGGCAUGGUGGUGUUCUCAUCUUGUGUUGAGAGAUUGGGGUAUAUCUCGCACCGAGAGCACACCUCUUCUUAUGUUUUCACCACGUUAAGGUGGGAACUCAUGGGAGACUGCCGGGGUCAACUCGGAGGAAGGUGGGGAUGACGUCAAAUCAUCAUGCCCCUUAUGUCUUGGGCUUCACGCAUGCUACAAUGGCCGGUACAAAGGGCUGCAAUACCGUAAGGUGGAGCGAAUCCCAAAAAGCCGGUCUCAGUUCGGAUUGAGGUCUGCAACUCGACCUCAUGAAGUCGGAGUC